GAGGGGGGCAGGUUUUUUAAUGAAUUUAAUUUCUUUUUAAAUUCAUAUAUACUUAAUUUUAUAUUUUAUGAUAAAUUCUCUAUCUUAAUGGAAAUUACUGGUGAUCUGACCGAGAUGUUUAAAUUUGCAAAGGAGCACAGAACAAGAUUGGCAGACAGAGGUUGUUUCCAAUUGUUUGGGCUUCAAGAAUGAGAGAAUGUAGAUAAUUGUGAGCUGCCUUCCUGAACUGCUGUUCUCCCAUAGCGCAGUUCAUGAGGGAAUUCCAGGAUUUGGGCCCAGUGAUGAUGAAAGACUGGCAAUGAGUCCUCAUGUCAGGUUGGUGUGUGACUUGGGGAAACCUGCAGGUAGUGGUGUUCCUGUGCGUUUGCUGCCCUCGUUCUUCAUGGUGGUAGAGAUCAUGCGUUUGGAAUAAUAUUAAACUAGCAAAGGUGAGUGAGCUAUCACUCAAAAGGUUUAUCCAAGUGACUCUCAGGUCAGCAAUGAAUCCAUGAAACAAAGCAAUGCGCUGCAAGUUUGAUAAUUAGUGCAUCUUCGCAAACUGAUGAUCCACCGAGAGACAAUGGUUCCCAACCUAAACGGCACAAGCAUCUGCUGAGAUAAUAGUGCUACCUCACUCCCCAAGGUUCUAGGUGUCAUUCGAAAGGACAGUUUUCAUUGCCCAAAUCUGAUUGCUUUCAAGAAGACCCUUGAACUGCUGGUCACAGUACUCCUGGAAUGGUGUUAUCUUGGGAUUUCCAGGAUGUAGACCCAGCAGUGCUGAAGGAACUGCAAUGCACUUCAAGAUUAUGAUGUUGGAGGGAAACCUGUAGGUUGUGGUGUUUCAAGGCACCUGCUUCACUCAACUUUCUUGGUGGUAGAGUUGUGGGUUUCGGAGGUGUUGUUGGAGUGGCCUAGAAAAGGAACUUCAGUGAGUUUUGUAGAGAAUAUGCCUGUGAUCAUAGUGUGCCAAUGGUGCUGGUGAAGUUGGGGAGGUGGACAGUAAUGGAAGAUGUGCAUCUUUAAUAUCGGGUGAAGAGGUAUCUGUUUUACACACAUUCUUAAACCUUAAUAUACAUGAUGCAUCAUGUUCUAUUGUGACAGUGUGGAGGGAUGUUUGUGGUUAAUGGGGUACCAAUUAAAGAGGCUGCUUUCUCCUGGAUGGUGUUGAACUUCUCGGAGCUGCACUCACCUAGGCAAAUGGAGGACUUCCAGUUUACUUGUGGGUUGAGGGUUGUGGAAAAGCUUUGUGUUGUAAAGAGUUUACUUAAUCGCUGCAGGAUGUCCAGCUUCUCACUUGCUUGAAAUGGUCAUUACCUGCCACUUUUGUGCCACAACUGAUCUUCUAUUUAUGAGCCCAUGUCUAUGUUUUGCUGCAAGCAGGCAGGGAUGAGAAAGGGUGGAAAGUGAAGACCCAUUUUUGGAGUACUCAAUUUAAACACAUAUGUGAUAUUAUCCUAAAAAACUUGAAGGUUCACAAAAUUACACAAGUAAUUCAGAUGAAUAGUUUGUAGUGAGGAAAAUUAAGUACAAAUACUUGUAGGUUUUCUUGCUAGAAUUUAUGCCAAGUUUUUGCUUUGGCCAGCAUUAGCAUGCCCAAAAUUUGCUUGAAAUAGCAAUUUUUCCAAAGUAAAAUUCGGGCUUAUUACUGACAUUCAUUUGGUGAUUGCAACUGUAAAA